rnacentral:SRP_RNA from 1 species
CGGCAGGUCUUAGGCGGGGGGCUAGGGGUCCCCUGAGAGGCGUAAGCCUCGACCGUAAACCCUCUAUAUGACGGGCCGAAAGCUGAGGUGAGGCGUAAAGCCCAUCGGCCACCCUCCAAUCCUCAACCGAUGAUUACUCGUCCUCUGGGGCCGGCGGUCACGGAGCGUCUCCUGUAGGGGAGACGUAACCGUGUCUACCAAGCGAACCUGGCCAGGCCCGGGAGGGAGCAACCUAAGCUUGGACGUUCGGCGCUCAGAGGGGUGCGGGUAUGAGUUAGAGGAUUGGAGGAGCCGAUGGGGACUUUACGUCGAGCCUCAGUGACCUGCCG